GCCUGUGGACGCCACAGAGUAAGCAUCGUUAAAGUCUCCCCUCCCACCGCCGUCAUGUCUAAGUCAGAGUCUCCCAAAGAGCCUGAACAGCUGCGGAAGCUCUUCAUCAGAGGUUUGAGCUUUGAAACAACCGAUGAGAGUCUGAGGAGCCAUUUUGAACAAUGGGGAACGCUUACGGACUGUGUGGUAAUGAGAGAUCCAAACACCAAGCGCUCCAGAGGCUUUGGGUUUGUCACGUAUGCCACUGUGGAGGAGGUGGAUGCAGCCAUGAACGCAAGGCCACACAAGGUGGAUGGAAGAGUUGUGGAACCAAAGAGGGCUGUCUCAAGAGAAGAUUCCCAAAGACCUGGUGCCCACUUAACUGUGAAAAAGAUCUUUGUUGGUGGCAUUAAAGAAGAGACUGAAGAACAUCACCUAAGAGAUUAUUUUGAACAGUAUGGGAAAACUGAAGUGAUCGAGAUCAUGACUGACCGAGGCAGUGGCAAAAAGAGAGGUUUUGCUUUUGUAACAUUUGAUGACCAUGACUCUGUAGACAAGAUUGUCAUUCAAAAAUACCAUACUGUGAAUGGCCACAACUGUGAAGUAAGGAAAGCCCUAUCGAAGCAAGAGAUGGCUAGUGCUUCAUCCAGCCAAAGAGGUCGAAGUGGUUCUGGAAACUUUGGUGGUGGUCGUGGAGGUAGUUUUGGUGGGAAUGACAACUUUGGUCGUGGAGGGAACUUCAGUGGUCGAGGUGGCUUUGGUGGCAGUCGAGGUGGUGGUGGAUAUAGUGGCAGUGGGGAUGGCUAUAACGGAUUUGGUAAUGAUGGUGGUUAUGGAGGAGGCGGCCCUGGUUACUCUGGAGGAAGCAGAGGCUAUGGAAGUGGUGGACAGGGUUAUGGAAACCUGGGCAGUGGCUAUGGUGGGAGUGGCAGCUAUGACAGCUAUAACAACGGAGGAGGUGGAGGCGGCUAUGGCGGUGGUAGUGGAAGCAACUUUGGAGGUGGCGGAAGCUAUAAUGAUUUUGGCAAUUAUAACAAUCAAUCCUCAAAUUUUGGACCCAUGAAAGGAGGAAAUUUUGGAGGCAGAAGCUCUGGCCCCUAUGGUGGUGGAGGCCAAUACUUUGCCAAACCACGAAACCAAGGUGGCUAUGGUGGUUCCAGCAGAGCAGUAGCUAUGGCAGUGGCAGAAGGUUUUAAUUACUGCCAGGAAACAAAGCUUAGCAGGAGAGGAGAGACAGAGAAGUGACAGGAAAGCUACAGGUUACAACAGGUUUGUGAACUCAGCCAAGCACAGUGGUGGCAGGGCCUAGUUGCUACAAAGAAGACAUGUUUUAGACAAUACUCAUGUGUAUGGGCAAAAAACUCGAGGACUGUAUUUGUGACUAAUUGUAUAACAGGUUAUUUUAGUUUCUGUUCUGUGGAAAGUGUAAAGCAUUCCAACAAAGCGUUUUAAUGUAGAUUUUUUUUUUUUUUGCACCCAUGCUGUUGAUUGCUAAAUGUAAUAGUCUGAUCAUGACGCUGAAUAAAUGUGUCUUUUUUUAAA